AAAAACCGCAUAAAAAGCCUUCAGAAAGAGUUCACCAAAGGUAGCUGCAAAUAAUUAAGGAUGUCUCUCUGCGAUGGUAAAACGUCGUGGCCGGAGCUGGUCGGAAAACAUGGAAAGACGGCGGAGGAGACGAUUGAAAGAGAGGUGGCUUGGGUAAAUGCUAAGGUUGUUCAAGAAGGAACCACUUUGGUGACUGCUGAUUAUAGAUGUGAUAGGGUUUGGGUUUGGGUCAAUAAACAUGGCUUCGUUACUAGAAUUCCCAUCAUCGGUUGACAAAAUUACCUUCUUCAAUGUCAUUAAACUCUCUCUUUCUCUCCAUCCAUCCAUCUCUCUUCUUAGUUUAUUACUCUACUCGAUGUAAAUCUUAUCAAACAACGGUGUGAUUCAAGGAUCUUUUGUUUACUUUGAAAGAUGGUCAAAAUCGAUCAAUUU